CAAACAGCUGGAAGAAGUCCAUGGCCGUGGCAGUGGCCGACAUUUUCUGUGUCGGACCUGCAAAAUAAAAGCUUGUGCCAAAGCCAAAGGCAGAAACCAGAUGGCCCAUUUUCCCCCUGUGGUGACAGACAGAACUUUCUGAGCAACCACAACGGAAAGACGUGUCAUUUAUUAACAGCACGGCAUCUAUUCAUUUUGCUAUGUGCAGGAUUUCAAAGAGCCAGUAAAUAAUCACCCCUGAUCCAUAUUUGAAGGAACUGUGUCAUCUGUUGAAGCCAUCUGAUGAGAGAGAUCAAAGUAAACCGAUGUAGUCAUCAAAGAGUCCCAUCUGUGAGCUUAAUUACUCGUCGAGCAUGCAGGCCUUUCAAGGAUGAUGAAGCUGCAUUGCAUUUACAUGAGGA